rnacentral:rRNA from 1 species
GAUGAACGCUGGCGGCGUGCCUAAUACAUGCAAGUCGAGCGAACAGACGAGGAGCUUGCUCCUUUGACGUUAGCGGCGGACGGGUGAGUAACACGUGGGUAACCUACCUAUAAGACUGGGAUAACUUCGGGAAACCGGAGCUAAUACCGGAUAAUAUUUCGAACCGCAUGGUUCGAUAGUGAAAGAUGGCUCUGCUAUCACUUAUAGAUGGACCUGCGCCGUAUUAGCUAGUUGGUAAGGUAACGGCUUACCAAGGCAACGAUCCGUAGCCGACCUGAGAGGGUGAUCGGCCACACUGGAACUGAGACACGGUCCAGACUCCUACGGGAGGCAGCAGUAGGGAAUCUUCCGCAAAGGGCGAAAGCCUGACGGAGCAACGCCGCGUGAGUGAUGAAGGUCUUCGGAUCGUAAAACUCUGUUAUUAGGGAAGAACAAACGUGUAAGUAACUGUGCACGUCUUGACGGUACCUAAUCAGAAAGCCACGGCUAACUACGUG